rnacentral:rRNA from 1 species
GGGUUGUGAGGUUAAGCGACUAAGCGUACACGGUGGAUGCCCUGGCAGUCAGAGGCGAUGAAGGACGUGCUAAUCUGCGAUAAGCGCCGGUAAGGUGAUAUGAACCGUUAUAACCGGCGAUUUCCGAAUGGGGAAACCCAGUGUGACUCGUCACACUAUCAUUAACUGAAUCCAUAGGUUAAUGAGGCGAACCGGGGGAACUGAAACAUCUAAGUACCCCGAGGAAAAGAAAUCAACCGAGAUUCCCCCAGUAGCGGCGAGCGAACGGGGAGGAGCCCAGAGCCUGAAUCAGCAUGUGUGUUAGUGGAAGCGUCUGGAAAGGCGCGCGAUACAGGGUGACAGCCCCGUACACAAAAGCGCAUGUGCUGUGAGCUCGAUGAGUAGGGCGGGACACGUGGUAUCCUGUCUGAAUAUGGGGGGACCAUCCUCCAAGGCUAAAUACUCCUGACUGACCGAUAGUGAACCAGUACCGUGAGGGAAAGGCGAAAAGAACCCCGGCGAGGGGAGUGAAAAAGAACCUGAAACCGUGUACGUACAAGCAGUGGGAGCACCCUUCGGGGUGUGACUGCGUACCUUUUGUAUAAUGGGUCAGCGACUUAUAUUCUGUAGCAAGGUUAACCGAAUAGGGGAGCCGGAGGGAAACCGAGUCUUAAUUGGGCGUUAAGUUGCAGGGUAUAGACCCGAAACCCGGUGAUCUAGCCAUGGGCAGGUUGAAGGUUGGGUAACACUAACUGGAGGACCGAACCGACUAAUGUUGAAAAAUUAGCGGAUGACCUGUGGCUGGGGGUGAAAGGCCAAUCAAACCGGGAGAUAGCUGGUUCUCCCCGAAAGCUAUUUAGGUAGCGCCUCGUGAAUUCAUCUCCGGGGGUAGAGCACUGUUUCGGCUAGGGGGCCAUCCCGGCUUACCAACCCGAUGCAAACUGCGAAUACCGGAGAAUGUUAUCACGGGAGACACACGGCGGGUGCUAACGUCCGUCGUGAAGAGGGAAACAACCCAGACCGCCAGCUAAGGUCCCAAAGUCAUGGUUAAGUGGGAAACGAUGUGGGAAGGCCCAGACAGCCAGGAUGUUGGCUUAGAAGCAGCCAUCAUUUAAAGAAAGCGUAAUAGCUCACUGGUCGAGUCGGCCUGCGCGGAAGAUGUAACGGGGCUAAACCAUGCACCGAAGCUGCGGCAGCGACACUGUGUGUUGUUGGGUAGGGGAGCGUUCUGUAAGCCUGCGAAGGUGGCCUGUGAGGGUUGCUGGAGGUAUCAGAAGUGCGAAUGCUGACAUAAGUAACGAUAAAGCGGGUGAAAAGCCCGCUCGCCGGAAGACCAAGGGUUCCUGUCCAACGUUAAUCGGGGCAGGGUGAGUCGACCCCUAAGGCGAGGCCGAAAGGCGUAGUCGAUGGGAAACGGGUUAAUAUUCCCGUACUUGGUGUUACUGCGAAGGGGGGACGGAGAAGGCUAUGUUGGCCGGGCGACGGUUGUCCCGGUUUAAGCGUGUAGGUGUGUGUUCCAGGUAAAUCCGGUUCACUUUAACACUGAGGCGUGACGACGAGGCACUACGGUGCUGAAGCAACAAAUGCCCUGCUUCCAGGAAAAGCCUCUAAGCAUCAGGUAACAUCAAAUCGUACCCCAAACCGACACAGGUGGUCAGGUAGAGAAUACCAAGGCGCUUGAGAGAACUCGGGUGAAGGAACUAGGCAAAAUGGUGCCGUAACUUCGGGAGAAGGCACGCUGACAUGUAGGUGAAGUGAUUUACUCAUGGAGCUGAAGUCAGUCGAAGAUACCAGCUGGCUGCAACUGUUUAUUAAAAACACAGCACUGUGCAAACACGAAAGUGGACGUAUACGGUGUGACGCCUGCCCGGUGCCGGAAGGUUAAUUGAUGGGGUCAGCGCAAGCGAAGCUCCUGAUCGAAGCCCCGGUAAACGGCGGCCGUAACUAUAACGGUCCUAAGGUAGCGAAAUUCCUUGUCGGGUAAGUUCCGACCUGCACGAAUGGCGUAAUGAUGGCCAGGCUGUCUCCACCCGAGACUCAGUGAAAUUGAACUCGCUGUGAAGAUGCAGUGUACCCGCGGCAAGACGGAAAGACCCCGUGAACCUUUACUAUAGCUUGACACUGAACAUUGAGCCUUGAUGUGUAGGAUAGGUGGGAGGCUUUGAAGCGUGGACGCCAGUCUGCAUGGAGCCGACCUUGAAAUACCACCCUUUAAUGUUUGAUGUUCUAACGUGGACCCGUAAUCCGGGUUGCGGACAGUGUCUGGUGGGUAGUUUGACUGGGGCGGUCUCCUCCUAAAGAGUAACGGAGGAGCACGAAGGUUGGCUAAUCCUGGUCGGACAUCAGGAGGUUAGUGCAAUGGCAUAAGCCAGCUUGACUGCGAGCGUGACGGCGCGAGCAGGUGCGAAAGCAGGUCAUAGUGAUCCGGUGGUUCUGAAUGGAAGGGCCAUCGCUCAACGGAUAAAAGGUACUCCGGGGAUAACAGGCUGAUACCGCCCAAGAGUUCAUAUCGACGGCGGUGUUUGGCACCUCGAUGUCGGCUCAUCACAUCCUGGGGCUGAAGUAGGUCCCAAGGGUAUGGCUGUUCGCCAUUUAAAGUGGUACGCGAGCUGGGUUUAGAACGUCGUGAGACAGUUCGGUCCCUAUCUGCCGUGGGCGCUGGAGAACUGAGGGGGGCUGCUCCUAGUACGAGAGGACCGGAGUGGACGCAUCACUGGUGUUCGGGUUGUCAUGCCAAUGGCACUGCCCGGUAGCUAAAUGCGGAAGAGAUAAGUGCUGAAAGCAUCUAAGCACGAAACUUGCCCCGAGAUGAGUUCUCCCUGAGACUUAAAGUCUCCUGAAGGAACGUUGAAGACGACGACGUUGAUAGGCCGGGUGUGUAAGCGCAGCGAUGCGUUGAGCUAACCGGUACUAAUGAACCGUGAGGCUUAACCUUACAACGCCGAAG